CGAGCUACCCAGCGAUGGGAUGCGAAUCUCGAAAGCCUAUCUCAGUUCGGAUCGGAGGCUGAAACCCGCCUCCGUGAAGUUGGAUUCGCUAGUAAUCGCGCAUCAGCCAUGGCGCGGUGAAUACGUUCCCGGGCCUUGUACACACCGCCCGUCAAGCCAUGGAAGCUGGGGGGUGCCUGAAGUUCGUGACCGCAAGGAGCGACCUAGGGCAAAACCGGUGACUGGGGCUAAGUCGUAACAAGGUACC
rnacentral:rRNA from 1 species